rnacentral:rRNA from 1 species
UCGAGGGGUAUAUAGUGCUUGCACUAUAGAGACCGGCGCACGGGUGCGUAACGCGUAUGCAAUCUACCUUAUACAGGGAUAGCCCAGGGAAACUUGGAUUAAUGCCCCAUAGUACCAUUAAGUAGCAUUACUUGAUGAUUAAAGAUUUAUCGGUAUAAGAUGAGCAUGCGUCCCAUUAGUUAGUUGGUAAGGUAACGGCUUACCAAGACAGCGAUGGGUAGGGGCCCCUGAGAGGGGGAUCCCCCACACUGGUACUGAGACACGGACCAGACUCC